rnacentral:rRNA from 1 species
UACGUAGGGUGCGAGCGUUGUCCGGAAUUACUGGGCGUAAAGAGCUCGUAGGCGGUUUGUCGCGUCUGCUGUGAAAACUGGAGGCUCAACCUCCAGCCUGCAGUGGGUACGGGCAAACUAGAGUGCGGUAGGGGAGAUUGGAAUUCCUGGUGUAGCGGUGGAAUGCGCAGAUAUCAGAGGAACACCGAUGGCGAAGGCAGAUCUCUGGGCCGUAACUGACGCUGAGGCACGAAAGCGUGGGUAGCAAACAGG